AUGAAUUUCAAAGUUUUAGCAAUUUGUCGUGAUCAAACGAGAUUCAAUUUUUUUAAAAAGACUAUAUAUGCUAUAUACCCCUCAUAGAAGAGAAUAUUUGUAAUUUUUAUUAGAUUUUCUUGCAGACAAUAAUGUGCUUCAAUAAGAGUGGGGCGACGCAUGAUUACAAAUAGGAUGUGACAACAUUAUAAUGAAUUCUGCAAUCCUAGUUGGAGACAAACCAAAGUGGGCUAUCAUUACUCAUUAUUAUCACUCACUUCUAUCUCUCCACAGAAAAGGAAUUCUUUUAAGUUUCAGUAUCUGUAUUCACCAUCUUUGCAGAAUCAGAACAAACACAUGAUACAUUUUCAGAUGGAAUGAAAUUUCAUCUCCUUCUAUUGCAGAAACGUCACAACUUUUGUGAAGCUCCAAAAAUUAAAAAUGUCAAGCAAUGAAUAUGAGAGAAUGGUACAACCAAAAAAGCUGCUCGAACAAGAGGCUACCACCAAGAAAAGGUUGCAAAAUGGAGAGAGUUUGUUUGAGCCUAAUUUGAUAUUUUUGGAAGACCAAAAAUUUUCGUUGGGGCCAAAAAAUUUAGAGCGCAGUUCGAUUUUGAAUUUAUGUGAGGAAUUGGGAUUAGAGGAUGUGGAGGAAGAAGACUAUCUCAUUGAAAUACCUCUAUCAGAAAAUGAAGAGGCAGAAUUGCUUUCAGAUAUGGAUGAUAAUUUGAUUGAGAUUGAUCUUUCGAUGGGCUCAGUUUCACCCUGUGAAAAUAUUGCUACUUGAUUUUCACUCGACUGGGAAUCCAUACUUAAAAAAUUAGGUGACACUCUUGUCGUAAACUGUAUAAACUGAAUUGUUUCUUCAGUUUCUUUCAUUAAUACUUUUUUUUUUCAUUCAUUAUAAGUUGUAUGUUACACUCUUCUAGUGUAAUUUUUCCUAUUUCUCCUUCGUUUGUAAUAUUGUGGAGAAAAUGAAUAUUAUGGAUUUCUACA